AGCCCUCUACCCUUUCCUUUUCACCCCAUUCUCCUCUCCAGUUGUAUCACAAUUAUUAAUUCAAAAAUUAUGACUCGUACGUUUUCUCCCUCACACUAACACCCAACUUGCAGUAUAAGUAUUGACCACUUAUGGCUAUUUCUUCUCACUUUUUUGUUUCCUUUCUCAUAUAUAUUCUCUCUCUAGAAAAUAUUCUGUCUUAAUAUAAGUUUCCGCUUCUGCCAAUCAAGGGAGAUCGAUAUAGCCAAAUUGUUGAAGAGCAUGCUAUGAAAUACACAUCACCACCUUGGGUUAUUUCAAUGGAAAGAUCAUCACCUUCGAGCUCGUGUGUGUCUCGGGAACUGAGCCCCGACGAAGAGUUUUUGAAGAAGACUGCCAUGUCCAUGAUGCUUAUGGGUUGCCCUGGAUGCUUAAUGUAUGUCAUUAUAUCAGAAGAGAAUCCAAAAUGUCUCAGAUGCAAGAGCACUGUCUUGCUUGAUUUUUUCAAGGAGGAAAGGAUCAAGAAUUCAAAGACUUGAAAUAAAGAAAAUGGCAUUGUGCUUUGCUAAUUACUUAAGCCCUUUUCUAUAUUUAGAGAUCUUUAUUGUGAUUCUUGAUCACAUCCUUUCUUCCUUUUUAUUUUUGUGUGGUGACCUAUAUAUGUUGCUUAUGUGAGAUAAAAAAUAGUUAAAAUAAAUUAAAUAAAAAAUAACAAGAAAAUUAGUGUUGCAACAUGUCUAAUGUGGUGAUAUGAAUUUGGAAGUUGGUGUUGCAAUAUAAUCAAGUUGAAAAUUGGUGCCGCAACAUGAAAAGUUUGAGACGUUCAUUUAUAAAUAGAUGAUUUCUAUUUCAGUUUGAAGUACACCAAAACAGAGAGAGCAAUAGAGAGAAAAGAGAGUAAUCCACACAUAUUCUAUAGUCUAUGAGAAAAUAGCAUUGGAAUAAUAUUAUAGUGAGUUGUGUGAAAUAAAAGAGUGUUGUUUCUUUUAAAUAGUAGCAGUCUUUUGACACUAUCAAGUUGUAAUCAGUGUUAUUGUAUUACUCCAUUUGGGUAUUAUAUUUACCCCGUUAUUAUAAUAUUUGGUGUUGUUGUUA